rnacentral:rRNA from 1 species
GAUGAACGCUGGCGGCGUGCCUAAUACAUGCAAGUCGAGCGAACAGACGAGGAGCUUGCUCCUCUGACGUUAGCGGCGGACGGGUGAGUAACACGUGGAUAACCUACCUAUAAGACUGGGAUAACUUCGGGAAACCGGAGCUAAUACCGGAUAAUAUAUUGAACCGCAUGGUUCAAUAGUGAAAGACGGUUUUGCUGUCACUUAUAGAUGGAUCCGCGCCGCAUUAGCUAGUUGGUAAGGUAACGGCUUACCAAGGCAACGAUGCGUAGCCGACCUGAGAGGGUGAUCGGCCACACUGGAACUGAGACACGGUCCAGACUCCUACGGGAGGCAGCAGUAGGGAAGCUUCCGCAAUGGGCGAAAGCCUGACGGAGCAGCGCCGCGUGAGUGAUGAAGGUCUUCGGAUCGUAAAACUCUGUUAUUAGGGAAGAACAAAUGUGUAAGUAACGAUGCACGUCUUGACGGUACCUAAUCAGAAAGCCACGGCUAACUACGUG